GAAAAGAAAAGUGCGAGACGAAAAAUAGGUUUGUCUGUCUGAUGUUGUGUGUCUAAUGUCUUCAUCGAGCAAGGUUUAUAUAGGGCACUCGUCAGCCCAUAGGCUGGCCAUUGAAUGGCCAAAGGUCAACUCUUUUAAAACUUCUUUCCUUCCAAGGCCCCCCUAAAUCCGUAGGACUACAUUGAUUGAAAUAUUCUGACAUGCUUGAUUCUUCCUUGCUUUGGAACACUCGGAGUUACUAUAAAAAAAAUUCCUUGAUUUCUUUCCUUGUGAGGUCUCCG
rnacentral:lncRNA from 1 species